ACUCCAAACUGAAAAUGAUAAGUGAUCAUAACCUCAACAGACUACUCAAUAUCAAUUUCAUACUUUAGAUAAAUGUAGAACAAGUGUCAGGAGUGGUAUCUAAUAUCUAAUCAUUUCGUUCCCGUCCGUGACAUGUUGACAAUUGAAGAUGGGCGGUACUACAACUACGCGAAAUUCUAACUAAUGUAACUGGCAAAAACACUUGGAACAUUUGGAAAUUUGCAUCUGUCUGCAUACUUAUAUAAUAUAAAAACAUAUGACAUACUAACACCUUAUAAAAAGUAAGUAUGCAAUUUGGUUUCAGGAAGUACAAAAAAUAAUAUAAACGAAUUUGUAUAUGUAACAUUUUAAUUAAAGACUCAUUUGUCAUAAGAA